rnacentral:rRNA from 1 species
CGGACGGGUGAGUAACGCGUGAGUAACCUGCCUUUCAGAGGGGGGAUAACGUUUGGAAACGAACGCUAAUACCGCAUAAUAUAUUGGAUUCGCAUGGAUUUGAUAUCAAAGGAGCAAUCCGCUGAAAGAUGGACUCGCGUCCAAUUAGCUAGUUGGUGAGGUAACGGCCCACCAAGGCGACGAUUGGUAGCCGGACUGAGAGGUUGAACGGCCACAUUGGGACUGAGACACGGCCCAG